UACGUAGGGCGCAAGCGUUAUCCGGAAUUAUUGGGCGUAAAGAGCUCGUAGGCGGUUUGUCGCGUCUGCCGUGAAAGUCCGGGGCUCAACUCCGGAUCUGCGGUGGGUACGGGCAGACUAGAGUGAUGUAGGGGAGACUGGAAUUCCUGGUGUAGCGGUGAAAUGCGCAGAUAUCAGGAGGAACACCGGAUGGCGAAGGCAGGUCUCUGGGCAUUAACUGACGCUGAGGAGCGAAAGCAUGGGGAGCGAACAGG
rnacentral:rRNA from 1 species